rnacentral:rRNA from 2 species
CGAAUGCUGACAUAAGUAACGAUAAAGCGGGUGAAAAGCCCGCUCGCCGGAAGACCAAGGGUUCCUGUCCAACGUUAAUCGGGGCAGGGUGAGUCGACCCCUAAGGCGAGGCCGAAAGGCGUAGUCGAUGGGAAACAGGUUAAUAUUCCUGUACUUGGUGUUACUGCGAAGGGGGGACGGAGAAGGCUAUGUUGGCCGGGCGACGGUUGUCCCGGUUUAAGCGUGUAGGCUGGUUUUCCAGGCAAAUCCGGAAAAUCAAGGCUGAGGCGUGAUGACGAGGCACUACGGUGCUGAAGCAACAAAUGCCCUGCUUCCAGGAAAAGCCUCUAAGCAUCAGGUAACAUCAAAUCGUACCCCAAACCGACACAGGUGGUCAGGUAGAGAAUACCAAGGCGCUUGAGAGAACUCGGGUGAAGGAACUAGGCAAAAUGGUGCCGUAACUUCGGGAGAAGGCACGCUGAUAUGUAGGUGAAGUCCCUCGCGGAUGGAGCUGAAAUCAGUCGAAGAUACCAGCUGGCUGCAACUGUUUAUUAAAAACACAGCACUGUGCAAACACGAAAGUGGACGUAUACGGUGUGACGCCUGCCCGGUGCCGGAAGGUUAAUUGAUGGGGUUAGCGCAAGCGAAGCUCUUGAUCGAAGCCCCGGUAAACGGCGGCCGUAACUAUAACGGUCCUAAGGUAGCGAAAUUCCUUGUCGGGUAAGUUCCGACCUGCACGAAUGGCGUAAUGAUGGCCAGGCUGUCUCCACCCGAGACUCAGUGAAAUUGAACUCGCUGUGAAGAUGCAGUGUACCCGCGGCAAGACGGAAAGACCCCGUGAACCUUUACUAUAGCUUGACACUGAACAUUGAGCCUUGAUGUGUAGGAUAGGUGGGAGGCUUUGAAGUGUGGACGCCAGUCUGCAUGGAGCCGACCUUGAAAUACCACCCUUUAAUGUUUGAUGUUCUAACGUGGACCCGUAAUCCGGGUUGCGGACAGUGUCUGGUGGGUAGUUUGACUGGGGCGGUCUCCUCCUAAAGAGUAACGGAGGAGCACGAAGGUUGGCUAAUCCUGGUCGGACAUCAGGAGGUUAGUGCAAUGGCAUAAGCCAGCUUGACUGCGAGCGUGACGGCGCGAGCAGGUGCGAAAGCAGGUCAUAGUGAUCCGGUGGUUCUGAAUGGAAGGGCCAUCGCUCAACGGAUAAAAGGUACUCCGGGGAUAACAGGCUGAUACCGCCCAAGAGUUCAUAUCGACGGCGGUGUUUGGCACCUCGAUGUCGGCUCAUCACAUCCUGGGGCUGAAGUAGGUCCCAAGGGUAUGGCUGUUCGCCAUUUAAAGUGGUACGCGAGCUGGGUUUAGAACGUCGUGAGACAGUUCGGUCCCUAUCUGCCGUGGGCGCUGGAGAACUGAGGGGGGCUGCUCCUAGUACGAGAGGACCGGAGUGGACGCAUCACUGGUGUU